rnacentral:tRNA from 1 species
UAUGUGGACUCCGUGGCGCAACGGUAGCGCGUCUGACUCCAGAUCAGAAGGUUGUGUGUUCGAAUCACAUCGGGGUCAA